AGAGUUUGGUCCUGGCUCAGAACGAACGCUGGCGGCGUGGAUUAGGCAUGCAAGUCGAACGAGAAUCCUAGGCAUCAAGUUUUCGGACGAGAUAAUUAGGAGGAAAGUGGCGAAAGGGUGAGUAACGCGUGGGCAAUUUGCCGUCGAGUUGGGAAUAGCCCUUCGAAAGGAGGGGUAAUGCCGAAUGUGCUCGUGUCGCGCAUGCGACACUAUGUAAAGGUAGGGAUUUCGCUUCGGCGAGGCCUGCCGCUCGAUGAUGAGCCCGCGUCCCAUCAGCUUGUUGGUAGGGUAAUGGCUUACCAAGGCUUACGGGUAGCUGGUCUGAGAGGAUGGUCAGCCACACUGGGACUGAGACACUGCCCAGACUCCUACGGGAGGCUGCAGUCGAGAAUCAUUCGCAAUGCGCGAAAGCGUGACGAUGCGACGCCGCGUGCAGGAUGACGGCCUUCGGGUUGUAAACUGCUGUCAUGGGGGAACAAUGACCAGGGCGCUAAUAUCGCCAGGGUGUGAUAGUACCCCGGGAGGAAGCCACGGCUAACUCUGUGCCAGCAGCCGCGGUAAUACAGAGGUGGCGAGCGUUGUUCGGAUUUACUGGGCGUAAAGGGUGCGUAGGCGGCUUCGUUUCGGAUGUGAAAUCUCACUUUUCAUGGGUGAAAAUGCAUUCGAAACUGCGGGGCUAGAGUACAGGAGAGGAGAGCGGAAUUCACGGUGUAGCGGUGAAAUGCGUAGAUAUCGUGAGGAACAUCGGUGGCGAAGGCAGCUCUCUGGAAUGCUACUGACGCUGAGGCACGAAAGCUGGGGGAGCGAACAGGAUUAGAUACCCUGGUAGUCCCAGCUGUAAACGGUGUGCACUUGGUGUGGGUUGGUUUGUCCCAAUCCGUGCCGGAGCUAACGCGUUAAGUGCACCGCCUGGGGAGUACGGUCGCAAGGCUAAAACUCAAAGGAAUUGACGGGGGCCCGCACAAGCGGUGGAGCAUGUGGCUUAAUUCGAUGCAACGCGAAGAACCUUACCAGGGCUUGACAUGUAACUGCACGCCCCGUGAAAGCGGGGUUCCUUCGAGGGUGUUACACAGGUGCUGCAUGGCUGUCGUCAGCUCGUGCCGUGAGGUGUUGGGUUAAGUCCCGCAACGAGCGCAACCCUUGUGGCUAGUUGCCACUCUUACAGAAAUGUGAGAAGCACUCUAGUCAGACUGCCUGUGACAAGCAGGAGGAAGGUGGGGAUGACGUCAAGUCCGUAUGGUCCUUAUGCCCUGGGCUGCACACGUGCUACAAUGGACGGCACAGAGGGAAGCAAAGUCGCGAGGCGGAGCAAAUCCCCAAAAUCGUCCUCAGUUCGGAUCGAAGUCUGCAACUCGACUUCGUGAAGCCGGAAUCGCUAGUAAAGGCGUAUCAGCUACGACGCCUUGAAUACGUUCCCGGGCCUUGUACACACCGCCCGUCACAUCACGAAAGCCGAUUGCACCCGGAGUCGCUGAUCUAACCCUAGCCUUGUGCUAGGGAGGAAGGUGCCGAAGGUGUGAUUGGUAAUUGGGAUGAAGUCGUAACAAGGUA
rnacentral:rRNA from 1 species